AUAGGAUAGCCGACGACAUGCCGAUGCGGGCCAAUCCAUCUCACUGCCUGUGGCUCGUUAAUUAACUUCGCAGUCUCUCUGUCCUGCAGCAUUUUUGCACGUGGUAUGAGAAUCCGGAAUGCGGCGUCUCCACUAGGCUGUGCCCUGUUACUUUUAUCUGAAAACAUCUUGUUUCUGACUGCGGAUUUGAUGCCGUCGGCUGCAAUCACUACGUCACCGUAUAUCAUUCCCCCGCCUUUUAGGAACACAGCUGGACGAUCAAAUUCGAUAUCAACGACCGUUGCACCCAAACGUAUUUUAAUAUUGUCUAGCUCGAGAACUCUGUCGAUGAGCGCUUUUUGAAGAUCCCCGCGGUGAAUGACUGCAGCUUCGCCAUAUUGGUGAUCAACCGGGCCUUCACUUAGGACUCGUCCGUCCUGCCAUCGGACGACCUGGAUGCGCUCAAGGACAAUACUACUCUUUUCAAUCGCUGGCUCGAUUCCCAAACCUAAGAUGCGGAAUGUGUGUUAGGUGAAUUCAACAGCGUCCAACGGGAGAGCACUUACGUCUCAGAAUACAGCGCAUGUUCGGGGCAAUUUGGAUUCCUGCACCUAGAUCCCGAAUCUAUAUAAUCCGCUAUGGAGUCAGCCUGGCUAUGCUUUUGCUUCACAGAUGGCGCAUCAUCUCGUACCUGAGACGCGGACUCGAGGAUGAGAAUCCUGUGCCCCCGAGUCGCCAAAGAAAUUGCAGUUGCAAGACCUCCGAUCCCUUCAAAGGGGGUCGAGCGCAAGUUAAUGUGGUUUUCCAUAUUUUUCUGAGCCUCCUUUGCUACCGAUCCGGAACUGCAUACCUGCUCUAUCCUAAAUGGUUAGCAUAGGCGCCAGGAUAGAAACGGCGAUGACGGCGAAUAGAUCAAUGAACAUCAAUGAACAUCAAUGAACUACACAGUGUCAGAUGCACAUACCCAACAACAACCACAUUCAAAGGCCGCUGGGCUAGCAGGAAGCCCAUCUCGUCUGAUUCCCCUACCCCUAUUUCGACUUAAAAAGGAAAAGACAGAAAAAAAAGAGAAUGAAACCGGCCACUCAGCAAAGGUAUGCCGAUCAGUAAGACAGAUAUGCCGACUCUUUGAGUGGAGGCCCCUUCCAUGAUGGAAUGGGUGUCAAUAUCUAGAUAUAGAUCCACCUUGCCCCUCUCUUUCAGCAGUAACGGGAUGGGCGCGUGCUCACCUCCUCACCGCAACGACUUCCUCCAUUUUAGCAAUGCGCCACAUCCCGCCACGAACCCAAUCGGUCAAUUGCCAUUCCUGUGCCGGUGUGUGAAGCCAAAGAACGACCCUGCAAGUACGGAGUAUGAUUCUUCGUUUCCUCCUUUUUUUUGGGGCCAUUUUUGUUCCUUUCUUUUUAAUUGGUCCCUGUAACAAAUGUUGGCCCCUCCACAAAACUAGCGCCACCUACGAUCACUAUCUGUGCCACCUUGAACUGUUUCCGAUUUCCUGCACAAUGCCUGCGUCUCGUAUUUGGCUCUCUGGUGCUACCCUGCCAACUGCCUGAUGGUUGACUUUGCCGUCGUCUUGCUUUCCAUCAAGGUUUUUCUACUGCGUUGACCCGGCAAUCCAGCUCAUGGUGUUCCCUUCGAACUUCGAAUACGAUCCUUUGGGAAUUCCUUCGCAAUCCCUGUAGGUCGAUCCCGCCGUUGCACUGUCAUGCAGGAUUUUCAACGACAGAGAAUGAUUUAAUCCAUCGUAACAAUACGGAGGAGGUAGGCAGAUUACCCGGUAUUCAUCGCACCGGCGUCAGCGAAUUUACGAGUGACAUCUUGCCGAGGCUUGGGGAUCUUGGCUUUCUGGUAAGAUCGAAGUUUCUCUACCUGGAAUGAUGUAUCACCCUGCUCCCUCACUCCAAAUCGAAGAGACCAGAGGUAACCACAAGAUGAGAAGGUCGCAUCAAUAACUAGCCGGCAGCAUAACGACUAUUAUGUAAGACGAUAUAUUUAGGUGUGGCUCUGAUAUAUAUACAUAUUCAGCUACACGUUGCUGUAAUAUCGCUUCGGCGAGUUUAGAUUCCUAUAUUGUCGGCAUGACAAUAAGCAUAGCUAGCUAGUUAACAUUCUUUGAUAUUCACCCUCAAAAAGCAGGCGACAGAAAUCAAAUCCCUUAAAGAUUGAAGGGAAUCAAACGUGGAAAAAAAAAAAAAAAAAAGCUUCGGUGGAGUGAAUUAUUGUCCUAAACAAGUAUUUCAUCGAAGGGACAGAAUGUCUCCGCCGAGUGAUGAUGGGGGAUAAUGGACAGGGUUGAAUGUCACUCGGAAUCUGGGGGUGGUUUCAUCCUUGCGGGACAGGGGGGAAACAUUAUUGAGUGAGUUACCACCAGAUUAUUAAGGAGGAUUUCCCUCUUAGUACGCUGCUUAGGGCUUUGGAGCAUUUUUAUUUUUAUUUUUUUAAUAUCAUGCAUGGCUUGGAAUCCAACAGGCAUGCAUGCAAGAAUAUGCAACAUGACCCACAAAACCCCGAUAUUCAAGGGUGCAGUGGGGAAAAAGGAAUAAGUGAUAAGCAAAUCUAAAAGCUUGUAGGGAUUUUUAAUCACGAGCAAAGGUAUAACCACUAGUUAUAUCUCUAUAUAUGUGAGAGAGA
rnacentral:sRNA from 1 species